UACGGAGGAUGCAAGCGUUAUCCGGAAUGAUUGGGCGUAAAGGGCCCGCAGGCGGUAGUGUACGUCUGCUGUCAAAGAAUGAGGCUUAACCUCAUCAAGGCAGUGGAAACUACACAGCUAGAGUACGGUCGGGGUAGAAGGAAUUCCUGGUGUAGCGGUGAAAUGCGUAGAGAUCAGGAAGAACACCGGUGGCGAAAGCGUUCUGCUAGACCUGUACUGACACUGAGGGACGAAAGCUAGGGGAGCGAAUGGG
rnacentral:rRNA from 1 species